rnacentral:lncRNA from 1 species
CCGGUAGUCCUCACUCUUGAUUGUAGUUGAUGUGUGUUUGCUAUCUCUUUGCCUCCGCAAUGAGCUAUUUCAUGACAAAAAAAAUUGACUUAUUACAAAUUCUUGAAUUAACUAUCAAUAUGAAUUUGUACUUGAUAGAUAUGUCCAAUUCAAAUCGAAAAAAUCCGAACAAUAUUUUGAAUUCAUCAUGAGAUAAUGAGUUUAACCCGAUUAACUUAUCAAAAUAUAACAUAAAUUCUUCUGUUAAAAUAAUUUUGGAGGAAAGAUCAUCUUAUAUAAGUUGGACUUAUGUUUAAUGGAUAUGAACAAUAAAACUUACUCACACUAAUAAUUAUCUUAAAUUUAUAUACAUAAUUUUUUUAAAUGUAACCUCGAUUUGUGUAUUGGAAUAUGAGCCAAUAAAAUUAAAAUAAAAUAAAUAGUUGAGCAUAUUAAAAAAUAUAAUUUCUAUCAACUCCUUUAAAAGAUCCUAAAAUGAUCAUGAAUUAUGCUUAGUUUUGAUGAAUAUGUCUACUUCAAGUAACUUAAUCUGAUUAGUGUUUUAAAUUAGCUAAGAGAUAAUAACUCGUUAUUCGAUUCGCUUAUGAAAAUGUAAUCUCAAUUAACUCAUUAAGAAAAUCUUGAAAAAAGGAUAUUGUUAUAUGGGAUAUGCUUAUAGUUUGAUGUAUAUAUAUGAUUUAAACUGACUCAUCUAUUAAUAUUUUAAAUUGAUUAUAUUAUUCGAUUAAUUUAGAAAAUGUAACAAUCAAUUGACUCGUUAAAAUAAAAGAAUCAAUAAAGUUAAAAUAGAGGCAGGUCAAAACAGAUUUCUGACUCUUGAAAGGGUACUGUCCAGCUGAAGCAGAAACACAAAACAGAUAGCUUAUUCAAUCAAUCAACCAUAGCUAAAAUCAAAUGCCAGCUUCCCAAGCAGCUGAAAGAACCAAGUACUGCUAUACAAACAACCUAAUCACUCAGAUUCAUUAACAACUUCAGAUUCUAAGUAACAUUCACACUGUAAAAAAGAAUCCCCCCGCCAAAAUGACUACUUACAGGGUGUCUGAAAGCGCUGGCGGGAUGAUUAAGACAGGUUCCAAACAACCAGAACCAGGAAUCCCUAGAGUUAAGAAGCAUCGUCAUCCCGCUGUGCUCGGUACUCACACCUCUAACUCCCUGCAAAAACCAUAUCAAUCCAUAAGAGGAUGCAUUUGCUUGUGAUGUGCAUGAAUCAAACGAGGAUAGUUUCGAUUUGGGCGGGUCAGUGUUUACUCUAUAGUGUUUGUUAGAGCGAUCGGAGACUAGAGAAUCGCUCAAUCGCCGACUUCCGGUUGGCGAAAAUGACAAAGCCGAAGGAGG